AUGCAUCGUGAUUCCUGUCCAUUGGACUGUAAGGUUUAUGUAGGUAAUCUUAGAAACAAUGGCAACAAGACUGAAUUGGAACGGGCUUUUGACUAUUAUGGACCACUCGGAAGCAUGUGGGUUGCUAGAAACCCUCCCGGCUUUGCUUUGUUGAAUUUGAAGAUACUCCAGAUGCAGCUGAUGCUAUCCCAGAGCUGGAUGGAAGGACACUGUGUGGCUGCCGUGUGAGAGUGGAACUGUCCAAUGGUGAAAAAAGAAGUAGAAAUGGUGGCCCACCUCCCUCUUUGGGUCGUCACCCUUGAGAUGAUUAUCGUAGGAGGAGUCCUCCACCUCAGCAGAUUUCCAGGGAGGAGAAGCUUCUCUCGCAGCAGGAGCAGGUCCCUUUCCAGAGAUAGGAGAAGAGAGAGAUCAGUCUUGGGAGAGAAAUCAUAAGCCCUCCCGAUCCUUCUCGAGGCCUCAAAGCCGAUCCAGGUCAAAUGAAAGGAAAUAGAAGACCAGUUUGCAAGAGAAGUGGUGUAUAGGAGCAACUUCAUUUGACAGGAGUAUGUACAGAAAUUUCAAGUUUUGUUUGAGACUUCAUAAGCUUGGUGCAUUUUUAAGAUGUUUUAGCUGUUCAAAUUUGUUUGUCUCUUGGAACAAUGACACAAAAAGUAUAAUUCUCUAUGGUUUGAAAUGGAUCAUAUGAGGCAUGUAAUACCAAGAAUUGUUACUUUACAAUGUUCCCUUAAGCAAAAUUGAAUUUGCUUUGAAUUUUAGUUUUGCAUAGACUGAUAAUAAACCUCUAAAUCC